rnacentral:piRNA from 2 species
GCUCAGUUGGUAGAGCGGAGGACU